rnacentral:rRNA from 1 species
UACGUAGGGGCCGAGCGUUGUCCGGAGUUAUUGGGCGUAAAGCGCGCGCAGGCGGCCUCGCGCGCCCGACGUGAAAGCCCCCGGCUUAACCGGGGAGGGUCGUUGGGGACGGCGGGGCUAGAGGACGGGAGAGGAGCGCGGAAUUCCCGGUGUAGCGGUGAAAUGCGUAGAGAUCGGGAGGAAGGCCGGUGGCGAAGGCGGCGCUCUGGAACGUUUCUGACGCUGAGGCUCGAAAGCGUGGGGAGCAAACAGG